AAGUUUUCCAGCAACUGGUACAUACUUGGGUUGGGGAUUACUGAAAUAUUCGUGUCUCAAAUCCCAAAUUUCCACAAGCUCUCAUGGCUCUCUGUUAUAGCUGCUACCAUGUCUUUUGCUUAUGCAUCAAUUGGGCUUGGACUCGCAUUCGCCCAGGUCAUUUCAGGGGAAGGAGGAAGAACAACUUUGACUGGAGUAGAAGUUGGGAUGGAUCUAACAACGGAAGAUAAAAUUUGGAGGAUGUUUAGAGCUGUUGGUGAUAUGGCAUUUGCCUGUGCAUAUUCUCCAAUUUUAAUUGAAAUCCAAGACACUCUGAGGUCGUCACCACCAGAAAACAAAGUGAUGAAGAAAGCUAAUGCGAUAGCUGUGUUAACAUCAACAACAUUCUACAUGAUGUGCGGUUGCUUAGGCUACGCUGCAUUUGGGAACAAUGCACCAGGCAACAUGCUAACUGGCUUUGGAUUUUACGACCCCUUCUGGUUGAUUGACCUGGCCAAUCUCUGCAUUGUGGUGCACCUAUUGGGAGCGUAUCAGGUUCUGUCGCAGCCGGUAUUCAAUACAGUAGAAUCAUGGGCUAGCAUGAGGUGGCCCAAGUCUAAAUUUGUGUCCAGCGAAUACCCACUAUACAUUGGCAAGAAAAAGUUGAAUUUCAGCGCCAACUUGUUAAGGCUGACUUGGAGAACAAUGUUUGUGGUGGUGACAGCUCUGCUUGCCAUGGCGCUUCCUUUCUUCAAUGACAUACUUGCACUCCUUGGAACUCUUGCCUAUUGGCCCAUGACAGUCUACUUCCCUGUGGAGAUGUACAUUGCUCAAAACAAGAUUAAACGGCGCAGCAUAAGGUGGUUAGGGCUGGAGCUUUUGAACUUGGCUUGCUUCCUUAUUACUAUGGUUGUGGCAUGUAGUGCUAUUCAAGGCUUCAAUCAGGGCCUCCAAACUUACAAGCCCUUCAAGUUUUAAAAGUAAUCCACAACCCAUCAGUUUCUAUGCUUGUGACUAGUUUCAUUUAACAAUAUUGUAAUAGUUCUUGCAGCAUUU
rnacentral:misc_RNA from 1 species